UACGUAGGGCGCAAGCGUUAUCCGGAAUUAUUGGGCGUAAAGAGCUCGUAGGCGGUCUGUCGCGUCUGCUGUGAAAACCUAGGGCUUAACUCUGGGCGUGCAGUGGGUACGGGCAGGCUAGAGUGCGGUAGGGGAGACUGGAAUUCCUGGUGUAGCGGUGAAAUGCGCAGAUAUCAGGAGGAACACCGGUGGCGAAGGCGGGUCUCUGGGCCGUAACUGACGCUGAGGAGCGAAAGCAUGGGGAGCGAACAGGA
rnacentral:rRNA from 1 species